rnacentral:snoRNA from 1 species
GUGUUGGGCGCGUUGCUGGUCUUUUAUAAGUUCAAGUGUUCAAACUCAACAUAAAGCAGACGUGUUUAUUUGCAUCAAAUAGACAGACA